UGUGAGGCACGCGUCGGGGUUGGGUGUCACGGGGCGGCCCGCGUUUUGUGUUGCGGGGCUAAGAGGAGAAGGAAUUGAUCGCGUCUCAAUUGGUGGUAUCGGCAUCUAACAUGGCGGCGCCGGACGAGCUGGGCCUGAACGAGCAUCACCAGGCGCAGCUGGUGCGCUACAUGCGCUUCGCGCGCCACCAGCGCGACAAGCGGCUGCGCACCGUCGACGUCGCCUUCGAGGACUGCAUGUUCGCGCGGCUCUCCGAGACGACAUACACCAGGGACGAGGUGGAGGAGCUGCUGACCCGG